rnacentral:rRNA from 1 species
UACGUAGGGGGCAAGCGUUGUCCGGAAUCAUUGGGCGUAAAGCGCGCGUAGGCGGCCGGGUAAGUCCGGUGUGAAAACUCGAGGCUUAACCUCGAGAUGUCAUCGGAAACUAUUCGGCUAGAGUCCGGAAGAGGAGAGUGGAAUUCCUGGUGUAGCGGUGAAAUGCGCAGAUAUCAGGAAGAACACCCAUGGCGAAAGCAGCUCUCUGGGACGGUACUGACGCUGAGACGCGAAAGCGUGGGGAGCGAACAGG